rnacentral:rRNA from 1 species
UACGUAGGGUCCGAGCGUUGUCCGGAAUUAUUGGGCGUAAAGAGCUCGUAGGCGGUCUGUUGCGUCGGCUGUGAAAACCCGGGGCUCAACUCCGGGCCUGCAGUCGAUACGGGCAGACUAGAGUUCGGUAGGGGAGACUGGAAUUCCUGGUGUAGCGGUGAAAUGCGCAGAUAUCAGGAGGAACACCGGUGGCGAAGGCGGGUCUCUGGGCCGAAACUGACGCUGAGGAGCGAAAGCGUGGGGAGCAAACAGG